AGGGCGCAUGGUGGAUGCCUUGGCAUCGAGAGGCGAAGAAGGACGUGAUUACCUGCGAUAAGCUAGGGGGAGCUGGACGUAAGCGUCGAUCCCUAGAUUUCCGAAUGGGGCAACCCGGCGGGCAUAAUGGCCCGUCAUCGUGCACUGAAUACAUAGGUGUACGAAGCUAACCCGGAGAAGUGAAACAUCUCAGUACCCGGAGGAAGAGAAAUCAACCGAGACUCCGCUAGUAGUGGCGAGCGAACGCGGAUCAGCCCAAACCAGUGGGGUAACCUGCUGGGGUUGCGGGCUUCUAAUGUGGACCGUGAAAGACAACAGAAUGACUUGGGAAAGUCAGCCAUAGAGGGUGAGAGCCCCGUAUGUGAAGUUGGAAGCGGCCUAAGAAGUUCCAGAGUAGGGCGGGACACGUGGAACCCCGUCUGAAGCAGGGAGGACCACCUUCCAAGGCUAAGUACUCCUCGAUGACCGAUAGUGAACUAGUACCGUGAGGGAAAGGUGAAAAGAACCCCUGUGAGGGGAGUGAAAAGAAUCUGAAACCGUGCGUCUACAAGCAGUUGAAGUACAUCUAAGUACGACAGCGUGCCUUUUGCAUAAUGAGCCUGCGAGUAGAGGUAUGUGGCAAGGUUAAGCCGAUAGGCGCAGCCGAAGCGAAAGCGAGUCUGAAUAGGGCGUCUAGUCACAUGCUUCUGACCCGAAGCCCGGUGAUCUAUCCAUGGGCAGGUUGAAGCGCGGGUAAGACUGCGUGGAGGACCGAACACACCGAAGUUGAAAAUUCGGGUGAUGACCUGUGGAUAGGAGUGAAAGGCUAAUCAAACCGGGGGAUAGCUGGUUCUCGGCGAAAUAUAUUGAGGUAUAGGGUCAGGUGAUUGCCACCGGGGGUAGAGCACUGGAUGAGCUAGGGGGACUACCAUCUUACCGAACUCAACCAAACUCCGAAUACCGGUGAGUACAGCCUGGCACUCAGGCUAUGGGAGCUAAGUUUCAUGGCCAAGAGGGAAAGAACCCAGAUCGUCAGCUAAGGCCCCAAAAUCUCUGCUAAGUGGCAAAGGAUGUGGGAGCACACAGACAGCCAGGAGGUUGGCUUAGAAGCAGCCAUCCUUUAAAGAAAGCGUAACAGCUCACUGGUCGAGUGAACCUGCGCCGAAAAUUUAACGGGUCUCAAGCAGAGUGCCGAAGCUACGGGUGUGCAUUUAUGUACGCGGUAGCCGAGUAUUGUGUUCGCGGUGAAGCCAUACGGGAACGGGUGGUGGAGCGUACACAAGCGCUAAUGUAGGCGUGAGUAGCGAUAAACAAGGUGAAAAACCUUGUCGCCGUAAACCCAAGGGUUCCUGGGUUAAGAUAAUCUGCCUAGGGUUAGUCGGCUCCUAAGGCGAGGCCGAAAGGCGUAGUCGAUGGAAAGCAGGCGAAUAUUCCUGCACCAGCACGGACGUUUUCUCAAGGAGGGACGGAGGAGGGUAGCUGAGCCGGUCAUUGGAUUCCGGUUUAAGCUUGUAGGCAGGGACUGUAGGAGGCAAUGGCCACAAACGCAGUCCUAAUGCCGAGAGGUGAUGAGGAGAGUCUUCGGACUCAAAACUCAGUGAUCCCAUGCUUCCAGGAAAAGCUUCGUGAGAGCCAAGCGCUGUGCUGACCGUACCGUAAACCGACUCAGGUGGGUGGGAAGAGAAUUCCAAGGCGCUUGGGAGAACUCUGGCUAAGGAACUCGGCAAAUUGAUACCGUAACUUCGGGAGAAGGUAUGCCCCUGCUGGUGAUGAGCUUGCGCUCUGAGCUGGGGGGGGUUGCAGAGAAUCGGGGGUAGCGACUGUUUACCAAAAACACAGGACUCUGCUAAGUCGCAAGACGACGUAUAGGGUCUGACGCCUGCCCGGUGCCGGAAGGUUAAUGGGAGUUGUUAGGGUAACCAAAGCAACGAACUGAAGCCCCGGUAAACGGCGGCCGUAACUAUAACGGUCCUAAGGUAGCGAAAUUCCUUGGCGGGUAAGUUCCGUCCUGCACGAAUGGCGUAACGACUUCCCCACUGUCUCGGCCAGAGACCCAGCGAAAUCGACUUUGGGGUGAAGAUGCCCCAUACCCGCGGAAAGACGGAAAGACCCCGUGAACCUUUACUGCAGCUUGACACUGCAUUUCGGGCUUGUCUGUGUAGGAUAGGUGGGAGACGUUGAAACAGGGCCGCUAGGUUCUGUGGAGUCACCCUUGAAAUACCACCCUGAUGAGUCUGGAAUCCUAACCGUGACCCGUAAGCCGGGUUCGGGACACUGUCUGGUGGGUAGUUUGACUGGGGCGGUCACCUCCGAAAGAGUAACGGAGGCGCGCAAAGGUUCCCUCAGGCUGAUUGGAAACCAGCCGAAGAGUGUAAAAGCAUAAGGGAGCUUGACUGCAAGUCAUACAAGACGAGCAGGUACGAAAGUAGGCUUUAGUGAUCCGGUGGUUCUGAGUGGAAGGGCCAUCGCUCAACGGAUAAAAGGUACUCCGGGGAUAACAGGCUAAUCUCCCCCAAGAGUUCACAUCGACGGGGAGGUUUGGCACCUCGAUGUCGGCUCAUCGCAUCCUGGGGCUGUAGUCGGUCCCAAGGGUUUGGCUGUUCGCCAAUUAAAGCGGUACGCGAGCUGGGUUCAGAACGUCGUGAGACAGUUCGGUCCCUAUCUUCCGUGGGCGUAGGAACCUUGAGGAGAGCUGCCCCUAGUACGAGAGGACCGGGGUGGACGGACCCCUGAUGUUUCGGUUGUAACGCCAGUUGCAUUGCCGAGUAGUUAAGUCCGGAACGGAUAACCGCUGAAAGCAUCUAAGCGGGAAGCCAACUCCAAGAUGAGGGUUCCCAUGAGGACCGUUGUAGACCACAACGUUGAUAGGGUGGAUGUGGAAGGGCGGCAACGUCCGGAGCUAACCACUACUAAUAGUCCGAUCGGCUUGGCC
rnacentral:rRNA from 1 species